AGAGUUUGAUCCUGGCUCAGAACGAACGUUAGCGGCGCGCCUAACACAUGCAAGUCGCACGAGAAAGGGCUUCGGCCCCGGUACAGUGGCGCACGGGUGAGUAACACGUAGGCAAUCUCCCCUCGAGUGGUGGAUGACCUUCCGAAAGGAGGGCUAAUACAGCAUGAGACCACGAGUUCGCAGAACUCGCGGCCAAAGCGGACCUCUUCAUGAAAGUUCGCGCUUGAGGAUGAGCCUGCGGCCCAUCAGCUAGUUGGUAGGGUUACGGCCUACCAAGGCUAAGACGGGUAGCUGGUCUGAGAGGACGAACAGCCACACUGGAACUGAGACACGGUCCAGACUCCUACGGGAGGCAGCAGUGGGGAAUCUUGCGCAAUGGGCGAAAGCCUGACGCAGCGACGCCGCGUGAGCGAUGAAGGCCUUCGGGUUGUAAAGCUCUGUGGGGAGAGACGAAUAAGGUGCAGCUAAUACCUGCAUCGAUGACGGUAUCUCCUUAGCAAGCACCGGCUAACUCUGUGCCAGCAGCCGCGGUAAUAC
rnacentral:rRNA from 1 species